UAACCACGGAUGGCCAUGACCGCGAUGGU
rnacentral:sRNA from 1 species